CCUUUGCCAUUCCAUUUCAUUUGAUAUCAGCCAAUGUUUUUGCGAAUAAAUUUCCAUUGAACCUACCCGUAAACACAGGAAAUGGCUUAGAGGUAGCGUAAAAUAAAUAGCUUGGAAAGUAAUAUACACACGUAGUUUUAAAAAAAUAUUUGUAUUUAUGCCUUGAAAACGAAACCGAAAUUGAAAUAACUUCCCCCGACGGGUGUCGCUGCUAUCGCCGCUACGUCAUUUCCUGCGUCUCGCGGCGGGCCGGCGGGUGCAUGUGUGUUUGGUGUGUUCUCCGUGACAUUCUUGAAGUUGUGAGUAAUUCGAUUGUUUUUUGCUGCGUUUAGAUUGUACUACCUCGUUGUUUUCGUGUACUUUUGCGCUCAUCGACGUGAAGUGAGCGUCCGGAGUGAAGGCGACGCGAUUAUGCGUGAGAAAGAAAGGCAGCAGCGGCCUACGACAUCGGUGUUUCUUUGUGACAGUGUGUUUACUAUGCCUACGACGGCCGUCAUUCGUGGCGAAAGAGAAAACAUCUUCCAUUCGGCCUGAACAGUGAUGAAGUGGACGUUUUGUGUUUCGGCGGAAUGCAUCGUCAACAUGGUCCAUCCACUACGUAAACCAAACGGCGUGCCCAGAGUACACAUCGUGACAGCGCUCCACCUUCAAACCGAGGGCCUUUUGCAAGGCGCAUGGACUGCUCAUAUAAAAGUUACAGUCAACAUGAAGCAAUUGCAUGGGAACCGACUGGCUGUCUUGGGCCUACACAUUGCUGAAAAGACUGUGAAGACACCUGAGCUGACAGGUAUAA
rnacentral:lncRNA from 1 species